UACGUAGGGGGCAAGCGUUAUCCGGAUUUACUGGGUGUAAAGGGAGCGUAGACGGCAUGGCAAGCCAGAUGUGAAAUACCGGGGCUCAACCCCGGGACUGCAUUUGGAACUGUUAAGCUGGAGUGUCGGAGAGGCAGGCGGAAUUCCUAGUGUAGCGGUGAAAUGCGUAGAUAUUAGGAGGAACACCUGUGGCGAAGGCGGCCUGCUGGACGAUAACUGACGUUGAGGCUCGAAAGCGUGGGGAGCAAACAGG
rnacentral:rRNA from 1 species